rnacentral:rRNA from 1 species
AUGGCAGUCACACUAUGGGCCAUAUGGCAUGCCUGCCGGAAAGCUAUCCACGAGUCCAUAUUCCAGAGCCCCCAUGCUACGUAUAAUUUCAUUACCAGAUUCAUGGGUGAUCUGAACAUCAUAAAAGGCAAGGAGAGCAGUCAGGCCACAAACACGCCGGUUCAGCGGAGGCCAAAGAAGCCACCUGCGGGUUACUGCAAGAUACAUGUUGACGCUGGAGUGAUGACCAGAAGGGGAGGAUCAGCAGCAGCAGUAUGUAGAGAUGAAGGGGGCAACUAUCUGGGCAGCUCCGCGUUAGUUCUGGAAGGAGUGGUGGAUCCGGCCACUCUUGAGGCUAUAGCAUGCAGGGAAGCCUUGUCACUGGCAGAUGAUCUGGGCAUUCAAAAUUUCAUUGUCGCAUCGGACUGCAAGCAAGUCAUCUCGGACAUCAACAGAAACUUGCACGGGUUGUAUGGAGCGAUCAUCAUGGAGAUACAACUUAGAUCAUCUACUUUUCAUUGUAACUUUUCUUUGGAGAGUCAUGCUGUUAAUUAUGAAGCACAUAGCUUAGCCAAGUUUUCGCUCUCUAGAGGUCCGGGACGCCACGUUUGGUUUGGCGUGUCUCACGACCAGAGAUGUAUCCCACACCAUGUGGACUUUCAUGAAUAA